AGACCGACAUCUAUCGCUGUGUUGCUACACAGAAGGAAAUCAACCAUCAGGCUCAUGCUGACAUACAUGUGCAUAUCUCUGGAACAACAGACCCGACCCCCCCUAGUAAUGGAACAGCCCAAGACCGAAAUGAAGGAAGUGAGCAACAUUGUGUUGAAUGAGAUGUUACUUGGUGUAACUGAAGGAGACGGAGGUGAUGUUGAUGACACCGGUUCACCACUCAUGACUGCAGAUUCUCGAGUCUAACAACGUGCCUUGAAGUUGACUGCUGAAGUGUGUGUGCUCUUGUAUCUUUUGAUUUUUUUGAGGAUCAGUUUGAGUUUUAGACCAAAACAGUGAAAACAUUUUUGGAACAGUUGGAGUAUUUUGUCCUCAUUUAUCCAAAGGCUGGUUUUUAAGUUGAGGUCUGGGGCCUGUUUCAGGAAGCAAGUUUUAAAAGGACAUUUAUCGUCAGUGUCGUAUGUUGUAUGUGCAAGCAAAUGUAUUGUCACGUAAAUUCAGUUGUUGCACUGAUGGAGUGAAGCUGACUCUGUUUAAAGCUUAUUGUUCUCCUUUGUACACUGCACAUCUGUGGUUGAACUAUAAAAAAAUCGAGCCUUCAGAGACUACAAGUGGCUUUUAAUGACGCACUGAGAUUAGUGUUAAAAAGGCCCAGAUGGACCAGCACUACUGAAAUGUUUGUGACUGCUCGAAUAAACACUCUGUAAUCUGUUUUGAGAAACUUAAUGUAUAUGUUUAUUUGCUGGUUGAAUGAUUCUGAAAAUGAAAUUGUUUUGGUACUGGUAAAUAUUGUGUAGAGUGCAACACGCUGCACGUCUCAGCUUUGGGAGCACUGGUAUAAGUGCCUUUUAAAAAUAGGUCACUAGGGUGUUUUUUAUUGUGUUUUUAAUUUUUUUAUCUUUUAUAUGUUGUUUUUAAAAAGAAAGACUUUUUAUGGACCUAAGUCUGGAAUACAGUACAUCUAUCUAUCUAAGCAGUAUCUUUAUACUAAUGCUAAAUGCAUCGUGUACCUGAAACUUUCACUUUCUGUACCAC